rnacentral:misc_RNA from 1 species
CCCAACUAUCCCUAUUAAUCAUUACGUCGAUCUUAGAAACCAACAAAAUAAGAUCAAACGUCCUAUUUCGUUAUUCCAUGCUAAUCUAUUCAAGCUUUAGCCUGCUUUAAACACUCUAAUUUUUUCAAAGUAACAGUCCUGAUUCCCCACGACACCAAAUUAAUGACAUCGUGGUUCUUCAGAAGGGAGGAACCAGUAAGACCAGUACGUACCGGAGGCACGACCAACCCACCGGUCCCGAAGUUCAACUACGAGCUUUUUAACUGCAACAACUUUAAUAUACGCUAUUGGAGCUGGAAUUACUGCGGCUGCUGGCACCAGACUUGCCCUCCAA